rnacentral:rRNA from 1 species
AUUGAACGCUGGCGGCAUGCCUUACACAUGCAAGUCGAACGGUAACGGGCCUUCGGGUGCCGACGAGUGGCGAACGGGUGAGUAAUAUAUCGGAACGUACCUUUCAGUGGGGGAUAACGUAGCGAAAGUUACGCUAAUACCGCAUAUUCUGUGCGCAGGAAAGCAGGGGACCUUCGGGCCUUGCGCUGAUUGAGCGGCCGAUAUCAGAUUAGCUAGUUGGUGAGGUAAAGGCUCACCAAGGCGACGAUCUGUAGCGGGUCUGAGAGGAUGAUCCGCCACACUGGAACUGAGACACGGUCCAGACUCCUACGGGAGGCAGCAGUGGGGAAUUUUGGACAAUGGGGGCAACCCUGAUCCAGCCAUGCCGCGUGAGUGAAGAAGGCCUUCGGGUUGUAAAGCUCUUUCGGCCGGGAAGAAAUCGUAUGGGCUAAUACCCUGUGCGGAUGACGGUACCGGCAUAAGAAGCACCGGCUAACUACGUGCCAGCAGCCGCCGUAAAAC